rnacentral:rRNA from 1 species
UACGGAAGGUCCGGGCGUUAUCCGGAUUUAUUGGGUUUAAAGGGUGCGCAGGCGGACGUUUAAGUCAGUUGUGAAAUACGGCGGCUCAACCGUCGGGGUGCAGUUGAAACUGGGAGUCUUGAGUGAGCGAGAAGUAAGCGGAAUGCGUGGUGUAGCGGUGAAAUGCAUAGAUAUCACGCAGAACCCCGAUUGCGAAGGCAGCUUGCCGCAGCGUAACUGACGCUGAAGCUCGAAAGUGCGGGUAUCGAACAGG